UACAGAGGGUGCUAGCGUUGUUCGGAAUCAUUGGGCGUAAAGGGCGUGUAGGCGGUUUGCUAAGUCAUGUGUGAAAUCCCUCGGCUCGAACCGGGGAACGCACGCAUGAAACUGGCAGGCUAGAGUACCAAAGGAGGGGGGUGGAAUUCCCGGUGUAGCGGUGAAAUGCGGUAGAUAUCGGGAGGAACACCUGUGGCGAAGGCG
rnacentral:rRNA from 1 species